CAUGUAGGCGGAUAUGCAAGCUUGGUGUGAAAGGCAGGGGCUUAACUCCUGGACUGCGUUGAGAACUGCAUAACUAGAGUAACUGAGGGGCAACCGGAAUUCCAGGUGUAGGGGUGAAAUCUGUAGAUAUCUGGAAGAACACCAAUGGCGAAGGCAGGUUACCAGCAGAUUACUGACGCUGAGGUGCGAAGGUGCGGGGAGCAAAUA
rnacentral:rRNA from 1 species